rnacentral:rRNA from 1 species
GAUGAACGCUGGCGGCGUGCCUAAUACAUGCAAGUCGAGCGAACAGACGAGGAGCUUGCUCCUCUGACGUUAGCGGCGGACGGGUGAGUAACACGUGGAUAACCUACCUAUAAGACUGGGAUAACUUCGGGAAACCGGAGCUAAUACCGGAUAAUAUAUUGAACCGCAUGGUUCAAUAGUGAAAGACGGUUUUGCUGUCACUUAUAGAUGGAUCCGCGCCGCAUUAGCUAGUUGGUAAGGUAACGGCUUACCAAGGCAACGAUGCGUAGCCGACCUGAGAGGGGUAUCGGCCAACCUGAAACGGAGACGCGGCCCAAGCCCCUAGGGGGGGCAGCAGGAGGGAAUUUUCCGAAAUGGGGGAAAGCUUGACGGAGCAACGCCGCGGGAGUGAUGAAGGUUUUCGGAACGUAAAACCUUUUUAUUGGGGAAGAAAAAAUGUGUAAGUAACUAUGCAACUUUUGACGGUACCUAAGCAGAAAGCCCCGGCAAACCACGU